UUUUCCAUAAACUCUCGACCAAAUAUGGAUUCCCCAAGCUGAAAUCGAUUCAUUCUCCCCUAACUCUAUGAAUAUAUGGGUUCAUGCUGCAUCAGCUAGUCAAAAAAUUGCUGCAGCAUCAUCAAGGGAUGGAUUGGCAUCUCCUACAUCUGUUGAGAUGCAAACAUAUAAGCCUCCCACUGCAGCAGGUUGUAUCUAACCAGUCCGUUGGUGGAAAUAAUACACCUAAUGAGAGCAAGGAUCUUCAUGACAAUGGAAAUGAAAAUGGCUAUUCAUUCAACCUUUUUGGUAGAUCAAUGAAUAUUACUGAAAUUUCCAACACUAGAGUCCAUGCCUUUGACUGACCGACAUUGGAGAUGAACAUGUCUUUUGUUCAUGCAGCUCACUUACAAGUUUUCUAUUUCUUUAUUUCAGUAGUCUUUUGUAAAAUGACCUUAAUUUGAUGUAAAAUUUGGGAUGCUAGACCCCUUAUAGAAACAUUUAUUUUGCGAUGUAAAACUUAUAUGACAUUUGGAGAUAAUUUGUGGUAUAUUGGCAUGCAGCUUCUAAUGCAAUUACAACUUU